CUCUGUUUCGUCGUUGCUGUUCGGCUUCGUUGCUCCGCAGUGUAGAGAUGCACGAAUCACUUAUUCGGCUUGCCCCUUUGUUGCCGUUCGACUUCGCUCCUUCGACGACGUUCCCUUUAUAUCGGAUCUAAAGCCACACCUCCUUGCCGUUCUCUGUUGGUUUGGAAGUAAGCACGACUAGGGGAGCUUGCUCUUGCUCGUUGCCAAGGUGAUGGCGUCGGCCUCGGCGGACGAUCGGCCUAAUAAGUCCUCUACGCUUGGAUUCCUAUGGUCCACCGCUAAGGAAAAGAGCCAUCUUCUCGCGGAAAUAGAUCCCGACGAUGAUUAUGCGGUGGACGAAAAUGCUUCUGUGGAGUUCGCUGAAGGAUUCUCCUCUCUCGACGGCAUAUUGCAGUGGGCUAUAGAGGAUGCAGAAUACUCGGAAGAAUAUCAAGGAGAUUAAUCUUUUUUUUUUCUUUUAUUUUGUUAUAUAUUUAUAAAUAUUUAUCAAGGAGAUUAAUCAUAACCUUCAGAAGGAGCUAAGGUGGGUUUUAAUUUUGGGAAUUGAUUCUGAUUUCUUAACGAGGUUAAGAGAAUGGGCUUAUGCAGGAAGAAGGAGGAGAAUCUGGAUGGGUUGGAUGUUAAUGACCUGCGCGGUCUUGAUCAAAAUUUGGUAGAGUCGAUUAAGAUUGUUCGACAGAGGAAGGAGAACCUACGCUUAGGUGAUGGCCGAACACCCGAGGUUUACCUACAGUCGAUGCGCAACGGGUGGCAGGUUCUUACUGUUGUUUUUAGUUGUCAUUUUUUUUUGGUGGUUUUAUCAUGAAUGAAUAGAUUAAGUGUAUACCACCUUGUACAUGAACUUCUUUUGUGAUGGUUUUAAAUGUUAUAUGUUGGAAAAAGUUUAGAAGCGCUUUUAGUAUUCUUGAAUAUCUUUAGAAUUGCAUGGAACUGAUAAGGAGUACUUAAAUUACAUGUCCGAUCUCGUUCCCGCCUCGUACCUAUGAGCUAGCCGGGCCGGGUCGUGACUUUAGCAGGUGGGCCCCACUCUCCUGGGUAGCAAAACAGAGAGAGAAAGAGGGCGGUGGGGGACAGAGGGAAAGUAUUUUUUUUAAUGUUUGAAAGGGCUAGGGUUAGGGCAUGCAAGAUUAUUGUUUUCUUGUGGAGGCUCUUGAGGGUUGGUCUCUAUAGAAUUUCUUUAGAUAUUGGAGAGUUGUUUCUUCCUCUCGGAUUGAAGAAACUUGUAUCUUUUAUUGCUUUCUUGUUGAUUUAUGGAAUAGAUGGGAUUUGCUUGUGUUUUUCUCCACCAAAUCUAAAAUUUCUACUUCGUUAUUGUUGUUUUCUCUCUGAAAACAGUAGAUUCCUCUUGAUUUCUCACCAAUUUUUGCUAUGGUUACUUGCGAACUCAAGUAUUUCCUAUCAUUAUAAUAGGUUAUAUCUUGAUGACUAUUUCAAUUUAAGCAGAUGUUUCACCAAACUAAAACAUGGUUGCUUAGUUUAAGUUUGAGGCAAAUAUCACUUUGUCAUGAGUAUUACAUUUAUACUCCUAUAAAUUCAAGUAGAUAUAAAAUUGAAUACAUUUAGUAUAAUUUUAUUAGUAAUAGAUCUAGUUGUUGGUUUGUGACAUUGGGAUCAAGUCAUUAAAAAAAGUGCACGUUUUGGAUAUCUUGGGCUAUUGUUCAAAAUGAUGUGGCCAGUUAGUAGGAAAAGAAAGAAGACUGCAAAUGAGAUCAUGGUCGGGGAUGUGGUCCUCUUAGAUAACCAAUGCUGAGAUCUUCUUAUGUGUAUUUCAGUGGGUGCCACAAUCGAACAAGACCGCUGUCGAAGGACUGGGAUAACAUAUAGUUUCCAUGCUAGUUUAUACUCUCUCAUACCUUAUGCUUUAAUGAAUGCAGUAUGCAACUUUUCAAGAAUUCUAUGUUGCAAUAAGUUAAUCUCAAAAAAAUUAAUUAAAUGAACAUAGGGCAAAUAAUACAUAUUUAAUUACCAAGAAGAAAUCAAUUGAAUUAAAUCUUGCUCGAGAAGAUUACAUUCACAAAACUCCUAUCCUAGAAUUGGGGUAUUCAUAUCUAAUCACAUGGAGGUUUGGAUCACAUCAACCCCUCUAAAGAAGAAUUUAGGAUAUAAAAACUCCUAAUAUGAUAUGGGAUAGUAAAAUAUUAUAUUGAUGAAACACAAAUAAUGAUCUAGGGGGUUUUCAAAGAAUCUUUAAGCUAUAAUGCCACAACUCUAAUGUUGAAUAUUUUGAAUCUUUAAGCUAUACUUGCUCAUGUCCUUUAAGGGGCUGUUUGGUAUGCUUAAUUAGAAGGGUAAAGUAAAUAAUUUACAUGCAUUUCUUAGAUUUGAUCGUUUGGUUGGUUUUGAGCAAAAUGUAAGUAAUUCUUCGGAAGUAUUAGCGGUGUAUUUCGACCGGCCUUUCUCGCGACUUCAAAACCCGCUCAAAUUGAGCGGGUUACAAAAACACGCCCGCUGCGGUAGAAAUUUUCCGGCGCUCAAGGUGGUGCAAAAGACUUUCUCGGUCGUAGGCAUCCGGUAUGCGUUUGUCGCGCAUCGUCGGAGGUUGUACAGCACUCCAAAUUUUAUGCCAUCACAUCUCAUGGAAGCAGGUAAUCCAAUCAUUUCCUGCAAUACAGUGAUUGGUAAGCCGUCCAUCUGUUUGCAGACAGGUAAGCGACAGCAAACCCUAACAGCUGAGGUGCGCCUAUCGGGAAUCGACCUUCACUCUGGCACCGCAACGACAGCCCGGCUAUUUCCUGCCAUGGCCGGCAAGGGGAGAUACUAUACGGCUGGAAUUCAGAUUCCGGCCAACUUGGCUACGUCAUCGACAAGAAACUCAGCAAGUGCUUCUCCAUUCCAGAAGCAGCGAAGCUUGCAGGAAUUGCAUUGAUAUGCACAAGUGAGAUUCCAGGCUAGAGACCAACAAUGGAGGCUGUGCUUCAAGAACUAGGAAGUAACCGAUGCUUCAAUUUCUAACUGUACUGAUCUUUUGUAAUUGUAAUCGACUUCUUUAUUUAUCUUCCUGUUUUGAUUUUUACUUGAACUCUUAUGUCUUGUAAGAGAAGUGAAGAAGUUCCAGUGUUUUGGAAUUGCUUUCACAUGGUAGUUCUUUGUAAGGAUUGUCUUUCAUGUUUUGUUUUGAGGACAGUGGUAAAGAUUUUCCAGAUAGCUGUAAUGGUAAAGCUUUUUCAGUGUAGCUGUAUAAGGAAACGAUACAGGACUGACGCACUGCCUACCACUGCUUCGUCACUCGAUGAGAUGGUGGGCAGAGUCCUUAUGAUGUUGACUUUCAAGCAAAUCUAUAAAAUUAUCAAUGUUGUCUCCAA